UACAGAGGUCUCAAGCGUUGUUCGGAUUCAUUGGGCGUAAAGGGUGCGUAGGUGGCGCCGUAAGUCGGGUGUGAAAUUUCGGAGUUUAACUCCGAAACUGCAUUCGAUACUGCGGUGCUUGAGGACUGGAGAGGAGACUGGAAUUCAUGGUGUAGCAGUGAAAUGCGUAGAGAUCAUGGAGGAAGACCAGUGGCGAAGGCGGGUCUCUGGGCCUUACCUGACGCUCGAGGCGCGAAAGCUACGGGGAGCGAACAGG
rnacentral:rRNA from 1 species